rnacentral:rRNA from 1 species
AGGACGAACGCUGGCGGCGUGCUUAACACAUGCAAGUCGAGCGGUAAGGCUCCUUCGGGAGUACACGAGCGGCGAACGGGUGAGUAACACGUGAGCAAUCUGCCCUUCUCUUACGGAAUAACCAUUGGAAACGAUGGCUAAUGCCGAAUACGACCUCCUUUCGCAUGAUCGGAGGUAGGAAAGCUCCGGCGGAGAAGGAUGAGCUCGCGACCUAUCAGCGUAGGUGGACGGGUAACCGCCCACGAAGGCGACGGACGGGUACGCCGGCUGAGAGGGUGACCGGCCACACGU